rnacentral:rRNA from 1 species
GACGUAGGGCGCGAGCGUUGUCCGGAUUUAUUGGGCGUAAAGAGCUCGUAGGCGGCUUGUCGCGUCGGCUGUGAAACCCGCGGCUCAACUGUGGGCGGGCAGCUGAUACGGGCAGGCUGGAGUUCGGUAGGGGAGACUGGAAUUCCUGGUGUAGCGGUGAAAUGCGUAGAUAUCGGGAGGAACACCAGUAGCGAAGGCGGCACUCUGGCCGGUACUGACGCUGAGGAGCGAAAGCGUGGGGAGCAAACAGG